rnacentral:rRNA from 1 species
AUACGGAGGGUGCAAGCGUUGUUCGGAAUCACUGGGCGUAAAGGGCGCGCAGGCGGUUUGGUAAGUCAGAUGUGAAAGCCCACGGCUCAACCGUGGAAGUGCAUUUGAAACUGUCAGACUUGAGUACUAGAGGGGAAAGUGGAAUUCCCGGUGUAGAGGUGAAAUUCGUAGAUAUCGGGAGGAAUACCGGUGGCGAAUGCGACUUUCUGGCUAGAUACUGACGCUGAGGCGCGAAAGCGUGGGGAGCAAACAGGAUUAGAAACCCCGGUAGUCC